rnacentral:tRNA from 1 species
GGGGCCGUAGCUCAAUGGGAGAGCGCGAGUUUCACCACUCUUUGUCGUCGCAUCUUUUUCAGGCAGCGAAUGCCUUGGGUACUACAUUGUGUCGCGGGUUCGAGCCCCGCCAGCCGCA